rnacentral:piRNA from 1 species
UACCACAGGUGAGAGACAGAUGGAAAGU